rnacentral:rRNA from 1 species
GACGAACGCUGGCGGCGUGCCUAAUACAUGCAAGUCGAACGCUUUUUCUUUCACCGGAGCUUGCCCCACCGAAAGAAAAAGAGUGGCGAACGGUUGAGGAAGACGUAGGAAACCUGCCCAUCAGAAGGGGAUAACACUUGGAAACAGGUGCUAAGACCGUAUAACACUAUUUUCCGCACGGAAGAAAGUUGAAAGUCGCUUUCUCGUCACUGAUGGACGGACCCGCGGUGCAUUAGCUAGUUGGUGAGGUAACGGCUCACCAAGGCAACGAUGCAUAGCCGACGUGAGAGGGUGUUCGGCCACACUGGGACUGAGACACGGCCCAGACUCCUACGGGAGGCAGCAGUAGGGAAUCUUCGGCAAUGGACGAAAGUCUGACCGAGCAACGCCGCGUGAGGGAAGAAGGUUUUCGGAUCGUAAAACUCUGUUGUUAGAGAAGAACAAGGAUGAGAGUAAAACGUUCAUCCCUUGACGGUAUCUAACCAGAAAGCCACGGCUAACUACGUGCCAGCCGCCGCUGUAA